GAUACCCAAAUUGACUCGGCGUGCCCUCGCCGCCGCCGCCCCUGCCCCCAAUCAGAGAUACCCGCGCCGCCACCGCCCCCAACCAUAGAUGCCCGCGCCACCACCGCCCCCAACCAUAGAUGCCCGCGCCGCCGCCGCCCCCAAUCGGAGAUGCCCUCGCCGCCACCGCCACCCCUGUCUAUGUUCUCAACCACCCCGACCACUACUUCCGUCGUCCCCAACACCCUAUUGCAGCACCGCCUAUCACCCAACUAAUACAGAUCUAAGCCGCAGGCACUCCAACGCCGACCACCGUUCUCCGCCCAACGCUCCAUUGGCACCACCCUACUCCGUGAGCCCCCUCCUCCAAGCAGAACUUGACAAACGAGCACCAAGCAGGGCCACCUCCUCUACGUCCUCUACCCAAGCAGCGGAGUGUUCGUCUCCUCCAGCGAGCAGCUCUGCCUCCUCAACAUCCUAAAUCUAGGCAGCGCUGCCUCCUCUACUUUCCUACCCCAACCGAGAGCAUUUGGUAGGUGAGAUUUGUUUGCUAACUUCUAUUAUUAUUCAGUGUAGCAGUUUUAGUCAGAGAUGCAGUGUAUUGACAUGAAGCUUCGAUUGGCGGAAAGCUGGCCAAAUUUUCUGGAAAAAUCAGUUCUUGCAAAACAUCAACAGGAGACAGGCACACUGAUUGUUUAGGGCGGAUGCUCUUAGGUACCAGGAGUAUGUUGUUACCUAUGAAGCAAGGAUGCUGACUGCAUGCUCGUUGGUGGGUUCCUAAAUUUUGUGGGUUGUGAUAUCCAUGCACCUAAACAUAUGAUGUUUUAUUGUGGCAUUCUUCUCUUACAUGCAGUACUUUUGCCCACUCGGGCAAUAUCCCUUUUGCUAUUCUCUAUUGAUGUAACUUUGGUUAGAGAACUUGGGAGAUCUUGAUAGAACUUGUACCACAAGUGGAUCACCCUUUACACCAGCCUUUUAGAGUUGAUGAGCUUCAUAGAAUUUGUAAUAUGGUAGCUCAGACUUCUACACAAGUGGUUUACCCUUUUCACCAGCCUUUCAGAGUUGAUUUUUGCAGUAGUUUUCAAAACAUACUCUGCAAGUUGAUGCCCCCAUGUGUAAAAAUUGCUAUUUGGGUAAUCAAGUCUUCCAAGUUCUCCAUGAAGCCAAGCUUGCUCUUCCUUUUCUUUCUAAAAUACCCAAUGUACAUACACUGUUUCUGUAUUUUUUCACUCGCCUUUAUCUAUGUAUCCUCCUAUAAUUUGUAUGCUAUUGGCCUUUUCCUAUACGCAGUUGAAUGAGUCAUCACGUACUCUUUAGCUAUUAAGGUAUACCUGUCCAUGCAUCAUUUACAGCUUGUUUACCACUAUAUGUCGGAAACUGAGAAUCAUGAGGCUCUGAUGCUGCUGGAGUGGGGAUUUAUGUUCAAACACACUAGUAUGUAUGUAAUACUAAUACUUCACAUUGUUGUUUAUGAAGUUUUUAUAAAAAAAUAUUCGCAUGGAAUCCGAUGCUCCCUCCAUUGUCAUGGUUUUAUAUUUAGUUUCAUUGUUUGUUGGCAUUCCUUAUUAAUAAGCUAGUCCUUGUUGUAAUUUCAUGUAUAUUAAAUUGAGUGCUUAAAUUGUCCGUUGUUUCUCGGUAACCUAUGAAAUAGAGCAGACUUACAAUAUGAAUAGUAGGCUUUCAGUUCCACGUGCAAAUACAAUUGGUGAUUAACAAAAGUUCAAAGAAAGAAUGCAAAUCAAUUAUUGAUAUUUGCUCAAAGUCAUUAAAAAUCUGGGAGUUUCCAGGGAACACAUAUGGAACUGGGAUAUGAGGGUUUCUACAAGUUUUGGGCUUCAUAUUCCAACAAGUUCCAGUCAAAGCCAAUUUCAUGUUUCUGUUUUUUGUCAGCAGCUUGCUAAUAAUGCACAUUUCUCUAAAUUGCCAGUUACCUUUGAGUUGAUACAUUUUACUAUCUCGAGAUUCUUGUGGCAUUCCUGAACAAUUUCCGUUGAUCCAAAUUCUCAUCCCUCAUGUUAUGGGCCUCAAAGAGCGGCUGGAAGACUCAUUUAAGGUUUCUCAAAGAUACACAAGUUGAUGGAGGUUUGGAAUAUCGAGAACUUGCUGGAGGUUUUGAAGGUCUUCAAGUUGCUGGAGUGAUUAUAUAAUAUGCCUUGUUUGUUGAACCUCCAGAUAUUGGCAAGUUUUACACUGCUCAUUUUGGUGGUCGUUUCAGCACACGAGCCAUUGUAUGCCUAUUUUGGUUGUGUGGCACGAUUUCUUUACCUUAAACAUAUGUACUUUGCCUUUUGAGGCACAAUGUCAUUAUAUAUGUACGGUUCAUGCAUGCGUUAAAAGCAUAUGGUUUUGGUCUGUU